GAUGAACGCUAGCGGGAGGCCUAACACAUGCAAGCCGAGCGGUAGAGGUUCUUCGGAAACUUGAGAGCGGCGCACGGGUGCGUAACACGUGGGCAACAUACCUUUAUCUGGGGGAUAGCCUUUCGAAAGGAAGAUUAAUACCCCAUAAUAUAAUGAUAGACAUCAAUUAUUAUUGAAAACUCCGGUGGAUAGAGAUGGGCACGCGCAAGAUUAGAUAGUUGGUGAGCUAACGGCUCAACAAGUCAAUGAUCUUUAGGGGGCCUGAGAGGGAGAUCCCCAAAACUGGUACUGAGAUACGGACCAUCCUCCUGCGGCAGGCAGCCGUAAGAAGUAUGGGACAAUGGAUGAGCGACUUAUCCAGCCAGCUCACGUGCAGGAGGACUGUACUAUGGAUGUUACGCUUCUUUUGUACAGGGAUAAACCUACCCUCGUGCAGGUAGCUGAAGGUACUGUACGAAUAAGCACCGGCUAACUUCGUG
rnacentral:rRNA from 1 species